UGGGCCACCGAGAAACACAUGAUUUAAGGAUGGGAUUGAGCCAGACUGACCGGUCACUAGAAACAUUCGCUCAAAAAAGAAAAACAACUAGAUCGUCCAACAGAAGCUGGCCCAUAAGGGCUAUCGGGUCGGUCCCAAAAGAAAAAUUGAACCGCAAUACUAAUAAGGAACAAGGAAGUAGUGUUUGGUUCUACAACGAGGUGGAAUGGAACGGAACGGUUCU
rnacentral:lncRNA from 1 species